rnacentral:rRNA from 1 species
UACAGAGGUCUCAAGCGUUGUUCGGAUUCAUUGGGCGUAAAGGGUGCGUAGGCGGCGCGGUAAGUCGGGUGUGAAAUCUCGGGGCUUAACUCCGAAACUGCAUUCGAUACUGCCGUGCUUGAGGACUGGAGAGGAGACUGGAAUUCCUGGUGUAGCGGUGAAAUGCGCAGAUAUCAGGAGGAACACCAGUGGCGAAGGCGGUGAUCUGGGCCGACACUGACGCUGUAGAGCGAAAGCGUGGGGAGCGAACAGG